AUUGAACGCUGGCGGCAGGCCUAACACAUGCAAGUCGAACGGUAGCACAGAGAGCUUGCUCUCGGGUGACGAGUGGCGGACGGGUGAGUAACGUCUGGGAAACUGCCCGAUGGAGGGGGAUAACUACUGGAAACGGUAGCUAAUACCGCAUAACGUCGCAAGACCAAAGUGGGGGACCUUCGGGCCUCACACCAUCGGAUGUGCCCAGAUGGGACUAGCUAGUAGGUGGGGUAAUGGCUCACCUAGGUGACGAUCCCUAGCGGGUCUGAGAGGAUGACCAGGCACCCUGGAACUGAGACACGGUCCAGACUCCUACGGGAGGCAGCAGUGGGGAAUAUUGCACAAUGGGGGCAAGCCUUAUGCAGCCAUGCCGCGUGUAUGAAGAAGGCCUUCGGGUUGUAGAGUACUUUCAGCGGGGAGGAAGGCGGUGGAGUUAAUAACUUCACCGAUUGACGUUACCCGCAGAAGAAGCACCGGCUAACUCCGUGCCAGCCGCCGCAGUAA
rnacentral:rRNA from 1 species